ensembl:ncRNA C11E4.10 ncRNA
GCUCUUGCGUCGCAGGGUAGAAAAGCGCGGGAUGGGAUGGGAUCACAGUGAGAAAGAAUGGGAGCAACUGUUUGUUCGAGAGCCAACACAUUAGGCAAUUUUUUGAGCCACUUUUUAUUGGAUUGCC